GACGAACCGUCCGAACGUUAUUCGGAAUUACUGGGCUUAAAGGGUGCGUAGGCGGCGCAGAAAGUAGGGUGUGAAAUCCCUCGGCUCAACCGAGGAACUGCGCCCUAAACUACUGUGCUUGAGGGAGAUAGAGGUGAGCGGAACUUAGGGUGGAGCGGUGAAAUGCGUUGAUAUCCUAAGGAACACCGGUGGCGAAAGCGGCUCACUGGAUCUCUUCUGACGCUGAGGCACGAAAGCUAGGGUAGCGAACGGG
rnacentral:rRNA from 1 species